rnacentral:lncRNA from 1 species
GCCCUACGCCACCAGGCGGGGACCCGGACCCUGGGGCGGAGCAGGCUGGAGGGCCUGGCCCUGCAACGCAGUGCAGGGUCCCGGACCUCCUACUCUGAGGCUGGGGAAUGGCUGUCUACUGGGGCACUUGAGGGAUAAUGGGAGCUGGGAGUCCCUGUUCGGCGACCUCACCUGGCUGUAAACUCACCUUCUUGUGCGCGCAGGCCGCCGCUCCUGCGGCUCCAGGCAGCCAAGCCCAAUGAUGGGCGGAGGAGGGAAGGAGGAAGGAAGGGAAGUUUUCCCAGCCUCUCAGCUCACGCUUUCGGUCAGCUUCCCACUCUCUGGUGUCCCGGACGCCCUCCGGAUCGCCACUUCGAGCCCUAGUCUAGCUCGGGAGUGUUCCCGUAAGGGGCGCGUUCCCAGCUUGGCAGAAAACUUUCCAGCGAAUCACAGGCUGGCUUCUCCCUCCGCCUGGAGCCGGGGAGGGUGAUCUGAACUGAGUGGCGCCUCACCUGGCUGGAAGUUUGCCUGGGAACCCCACGACUCCAGGCACAGAUCUAUGUGCCCUGCCAGCUCUGAAUCUCGACCUGGGUGGCUUCGUGGGUGCGCAGCCAGCUCUUUGAAGUUCAAGGCUUGAGAAGUCCCUGGGCAGCCGGGUGUCAGAGGAUUCGGCUGGGGUUAAAAGGCGCCUCCUACUGGAGCUGCCUGCCUCCUUAUCCCACCACGCUGCUACCUCACCAGGACCGGAGGCAUGUGUCCUUAGGGGAAACGAUCCAAAGAUGCGAAUCUCAAACAGUGACUUCUAUUACCUAUUGUGCUGUCUAGUUUUAUGGGAGGCCUCAAAAAUGAGAAGAUUCUAUUCUUGGAUCUGCCAGCACUGGGGCUGUCUCUGCAGCCCUGGCUCAGAAUACCCACACCUAGAAUUUCCAAGAGCUGGCAGGAUAAUGGGCGCCCAAAGCUGUUCACAUCUCAAGUCUCCGGAACCCAGGACCUUAGGUGGUAGACUGCAGCCCUGCAGCAGUUCCUGGCAAUUUGUUACAGUAGCCACGGGGAAUGGAUACAUCUAGCCUCUCAGCUGUAUAGGCCAAUGCUGAUUUCACCAGCCCUUCUGCUGACAGUCCACUGGAAAGCUCUUCUCUCAAGAGACACCAGGAUAUAGCUUGAUUCACGGAUUUAGAAAGAGGAUAAGAUUUCAUCAGAUCUGUCUUUAUUGUUUUUUUUUUUUUUUUGGCUUCUCUGCCAUUUUGAACUGUGUGACCUUGGGAAAAUGUCUUAUUCUCUCUGGGCCUCAGUUUCUUUCUUUAAAUGUAAAAACAGUGAUGCUGGCUAGGUACACAGGAGGCAGAUGCCUAUGGCCCCAGAUACUUCAGAUGCUGAGGCAGGAGGAUGGCACAUUUGAGGUCACCUUGGCAACCUUCUUUUGUUAUCAGAUCAAUAUGAGUAUCAGAGGCAGCAGCAGGAUGCGAUGCUCUGUGUGAGCCCCCAUGACAUCUGAACUGCAGUUGCUGAGACCUGAACUGCCCACUCGGGAACACAGGACUCUUUAGAGCGGGCUUGUCUGAUGGACCAUUCUUGAACUCUGGACACGUGAUGCUUGAAAAUGAGUGUCUAGCGGGGCUUGGUGAUGCACGCAGGUAACCCCAGUGCCUUUGGGAACUGAGGCAGGGGGAUCAGAAGAUCAGGGUCACCCUUUUUGAGGAUAACUUUGUGUGGUACACACACCAAAAAUCAAAAACUAAAAAAAAAAAAAAAAAAACCCAACCCCCAAAACCUCACUAA